GCUUGUCUUGAGUUGCUUCGAGCUGUUCUGCACCCUGCACAUGUCGCCAGGAACGAGACUCGCUCCUUGCUCUACUGAGGGCUUGGUUCAGCAUCCCCCAGGUGGAAAAGGAGGGGCACCGUCCUCACAAGGACCUCACCUACCUGUGUGUCAUCCUCCAUUUCUCGGCUGAGCCAAAGCCUCCAAGGACCUUCUUGGGGCUCCGGUGAACAUCUGUCCUGCUUCCAUCCCCACCCACCUGGCAUGGAGCUGAGGCUACAGGACUCCUGUCUCCACCACUGUUGUGAAUCAGAAGUCAGGGAGCAGCACCAGCCCCUGACCACACCUUCACGUUUUGAGACUGUGUCGAAGCCUCUGGCCACGUGUGGAAGGACCUGAGGGCCGAAGGCGUAGCUUCAUCCCGCACCGGACAGCAACCAGCUGGCUCAUCUCCACGCACCAUCAGGGCUGUGCCUCCAACAUGCUUUAUGAUCCUGCUUUUGUAAAUCCGGUAGAGGCUGCACCCCUGGGUGCUGCUGUGAGGUGGCAAGGGGCUGUCCACCUACAGAAAACCCAGGUGAUUGCUUCUGAUCACAAAUAUUCUAUACUUUGCCCAGUUCGU